AAUAUGAAAGCUGCAUCUUUACUAGUUAGCUACCAUGCGUCAUUAUUUAUCAAAAGAUAUAUGCUGCUUAAACACAAAUACGUUUUAAAAUAUAUUUUAGGCAGUAGGGUUUUGGGUUUUUUUUUUGCAAGUUCUUUUGGUGAGUAAAUUUAGUGAUAAAUGAUUUUUUUUUCUUUUGAGACAGUUUGCUCUGUCGCCCAGGAUGGAGUGCAGUGCAGUGGCGCGAUCCUGCAACCUCCGCCUCUCGAGUUCAAGCGAUUCUCCUGCCUCAGCCUCCCGAGUAGCUGGGAUUACAGACGCGCGCCACCCCACCCAGAUGAUCUUUUUAAAUGCAAAAUGCCAUCGACGCAGAAAAUCAAAGGUAUCCAUUGUAUCUGUGCGUUUGAGUUCUAGGAUAUGACAAAGAAAAACAAUUUAAAUAUUACGUAAAUUCAGUAGGAAAAAGAAAGAUGAUGACUGAUAAGUACAUUGUGUACCUCCUUAAGCUGUGCUGUCCAGUAGGCUGUCCUCUAGCCAUAUGUGGCUACUCAGCACUUGAAAUGUGGUUGAGACGGAAAAACUGAAUCGUUAAUUGAAUUUGAAUUAAACAAAAACCAAAAACCUGAUGCUCGAUUCAAUUGUUGGAAUACUUUUAAGUGUGUUUGCAACAACUCAGAUAUAUGAAUCUGUUUUUCCAACUUAAAUUUUAUGAACUCUAACUUUAGCAUAUGAAUUGAGAUGUGCUGUAAGUAUAUAUCAGCUGGACUUUUUUUUUAUUUCUGGACUUACUACAAGAAAUUUUCAAAAAGAAUAUUGAAGUGCACAUUAAAAAUUUUUAUAUAUGUUUAAAUGUUUUGGAUGUAAUGGGUUAAACAAAAUAUUACAAUAAAUUGUACCUGUUGCAUUAGA
rnacentral:lncRNA from 1 species